UAGAGGGAUAUCUUCAACCACCAACUUACCAUCCUGAGACAAGGCUGAGUAUAGCCCACAAAGAUCUCCGCCAUGGCACAACCCAAGGGGGGGAGGGGAGGGGGGAGGGGAGGGGGGAGGGGAGGGGCAACCCAGACAGGAUGACCACAUCAGUGAAUCAACCCACUCAGGUGACACACCCCUUCCAGCUAACAAUUUGAAUCAGCAAUACAAAAUUGGGUUUAAUUAUUUAUUUACUAAAUACCUAACUAAUCACACAGAAUUACACAUACACAUAAUUUAAUCAUAACUUGAUUACAAAUGACAUCAUAAAGGAAAACGGCCCUAGCCGGCGAAACAAAUAUGAUAGCUUGUUACACAAAAGAAAAGGGUCUGGGUUUGAGUGAAGGAGCGGGAAGACUGAGGAACAAAGGCCGAAGCUGUGCUAUCGUAAAUACAGUAUCUUAUGCAUUCUAAAUUACCGCCCAUUUGGAAAAGGAAAAUGCAAUAAAUAUUUACUCUGAGCUGCGGUAGGUUGGUGAUAGAUGGAAGGCCGUGUUGCCCAACCGAGUCCUUUGAAGAAUGUCUCUGGUGGUCAAUUGGAUACUGUAACGUAGAAGUCCGUCACUGGCCGCGGGCAGCAUUUGGUACUUUAACGCACGCAUACAUUCAUCACUCCUCCCUGCUCCAUUAUCAGAUAAGCUUCCGGGUAUGCUGGAUAAGGACCCGAGCUAAGGGAAUGGGAUGACUUUGUAGUGCCUGUCCCGAAUGGUUCGUUCAUGUAAAUGGGAUAUUGAAAGACACUGUCAGUAGUGAUGUAAUGUUGUAAAUGUUAUGUGGUGAUAUUGUUGAAAAACGUGUUGCAAUGUAUAUCCUUUAGUAUGUUUAGUUAAUGGAAAAUGUAGGUUUGACGAGGUAAUUGCUUAAUUAAUUAGGGUUAAUUGUUCUGAGGGGAUGGGCUAGCCCUACAAAAGGAGCCUCUCUUUCAGUUCAUAGAGAGGUCAUUUUGCUGUGAAUGGGGCAGCAUUGUUUUUAGCUGUCCCUUAAGGUAUAUGUUUG
ensembl:lncRNA